rfam:Trichophyton rubrum CBS 118892 genomic scaffold supercont2.9, whole genome shotgun sequence.
CUUUAUGAUGACACUAUGACAUGCAAAGGCAUUCCUCAAGCUUAACCAAUAAUGUGGAAUUUUGUCAGCUUCUAAGUUUCAGCCUUGUCUGAUU